CCUGGCGGGCCCAGGCGGCAGGCAGGAGUAGCGGAGGCCAGAGCCUUGAGGAGACGAGGGUUGAAUAAAGAAACCACUCAACAAAGGAUGCUCCUUCCCCAGCCUGAAGAAGCGGCUGGUGCCACCUACAGCCUGGAAACUGGCUCUACAAUCCUCACCUGCCGCCCUGGCUGGUCUUCCGUGGAAGAGAGAUUAGAAUUGAUGCAGGGGAUGGAAAAUGGGCAGUCAACUCUCAAGAUGAAUUUUCCCUGAUAAAUUGUCAACAACUAGAAACGUGUUUAAAAAUUAUUUUGACUAAAGAGUUUUUGAAGAUUGUAGCAAUUAGAUCAAGAUUUGUGAACUACAUUUCCUAUAAAUAUAUUUCUUCUAGAGAGCACCUUAUGGGAUGUGGUCACAUUUUUUUUUUUUUGGUCUAUAGCAACCCCAAAACGUUCAACUCAGUGCUAGAUUAGGUUAGUGGGUACACGCUUAUCCACAUUGUCUUAUUUUAGGGGAAAAGAGAUUACUGUGAAACCAUCAGAUAACACACGCUUCUGAAAAGAAAUGAAAUGUAUUUUUAUUGGUGGAGCCAAAAUGAAGUAUGUCUUGAAAUCUGUUUUACAAAUAAGCUUGUUCAUAAAUUGUCCAUUCACUGCUUCGAAAUCUUUUUUCACAUUUGAGGAGCUGUCAGAGGUCCCUAAUAAACAUGAGUCUUAUUUAGUU